rnacentral:lncRNA from 1 species
UGUUUUGCGAUUGGGGAUAUUUGUCCUCUGCCCGGUAGUAUUGGAGUUUGUGUUUUUUGUACCAGGAACUGGAACAUUGAAGCAUACAAGUUUAAUUGAUUCUUCGGAGACAAUGGAGAGACGGUCCAUCAGUUUGUGGUGUGCUAUGGCCUGUGGCUAGAAGAGGUUACUUUACUGUCCACUCAACCUUGGGAUAAAACCCGUCGCUUUUUACAUAUUUGUUUUGGGAUUGGGAAUAUUUCUCCUUUGAUGGUGUGUCCUGGUAGUAUUGGGGUUUGUGUUUUUGUAUCAGGACUGUACAGAAG